rnacentral:tRNA from 1 species
GUAAAAGUAGUAUAAGUGUUAGUAUUUCAAGUUUCCACCUUGAGGGUUCCAUUUGGGGUUUUAUA